rnacentral:lncRNA from 1 species
AAAUUUUUAGGGUUGCUUACCAUUUGAUGAUGAUAACUUGAGAGUUUUGCUAGAAAAGGUAAAGAGUGGUGUAUUUUCAGUCCCAUUGUUUGUUCCAGCAGAAUGCGCUGAUCUUUUUCACAAGAUGAUUAAAGUCAAUCCAGAGCAAAGAUAUUCUUUGAGUGAAGUCAAGAAACAUCCUUUUUAUACAAUGUA